rnacentral:lncRNA from 1 species
CAUUUUAGAGAUCUUAUAGGAUAUUGCUACGUUAUCAUAAUACGUGAAGUCUUGCUUGAAAAUGCUCCGGACACUUGGCUGUAGAAGGUAGAAUGGAAAUUACAAUAACAAAAUCUUAAAUCUAAUAGAAUACUAAAUAAACUCUAAUUAGACCAUAACAAUGCUAAGCAAGCUUUAAUUAAAUUCAAAAAAACCUCAAAAGAAUUAUAAAGAAACAAUAAGAAAUCUUAAAAAAAUAUUAGAAUGAUUACAAAUAUAUCUCAAAUAUAUCUCAAUUCAAUCUUAAUUUAAUCCUAGUUAAAAUCCUAUUGGACUUCAUUCAAAUUUUAGGCCAAAAACUAACUAAAUAUUAAAUCUUAAAAAAACUCAAAUAAAAUCCUAAAUCCUAAAUCAAACCCUAAUCAAAUCCUAAAUCCUAAAUCAAAUCCUAACCAACCUUAAACCAAAUCCUAACUAAAUCCUAAUCCUAAAUCAAAUCCUAACUAAAUCCUAAAUCCUAAACCAAAUCAUAAUCCUAAAUCAAAUCCUAACCAAUCUUUAAUCAAAUCCUAAACCCUAAAUCAAAUCCUAACUCUAAAUCAAGCCCUAACCAAAUCCUAAUCU